ACAUGCAAGUCGAGCGGACCGACGGGAGCUUGCUCCCUUAGGUCAGCGGCGGACGGGUGAGUAACACGUGGGUAACCUGCCUGUAAGACUGGGAUAACUCCGGGAAACCGGGGCUAAUACCGGAUGCUUGAUUGAACCGCAUGGUUCAAUYAUAAAAGGUGGCUUUYAGCUACCACUUGCAGAUGGACCCGCGGCGCAUUAGCUAGUUGGUGAGGUAACGGCUCACCAAGGCGACGAUGCGUAGCCSACCUGAGAGGGUGAUCGGCCACACUGGGACUGAGACACGGCCCAGACUCCUACGGGAGGCAGCAGUAGGGAAUCUUCCGCAAUGGACGAAAGUCUGACGGAGCAACGCCGCGUGAGUGAUGAAGGUUUUCGGAUCGUAAAACUCUGUUGUUAGGGAAGAACAAGUACCGUUCGAAUAGGGCGGUACCUUGACGGUACCUAACCAGAAAGCCACGGCUAACUACGUGCCAGCAGCCGCGGUAAUACGUAGGUGGCAAGCGUUGUCCGGAAUUAUUGGGCGUAAAGCGCGCGCAGGCGGUUUCUUAAGUCUGAUGUGAAAGCCCCCGGCUCAACCGGGGAGGGUCAUUGGAAACUGGGGAACUUGAGUGCAGAAGAGGAGAGUGGAAUUCCACGUGUAGCGGUGAAAUGCGUAGAGAUGUGGAGGAACACCAGUGGCGAAGGCGACUCUCUGGUCUGUAACUGACGCUGAGGCGCGAAAGCGUGGGGAGCGAACAGGAUUAGAUACCCUGGUAGUCCACGCCGUAAACGAUGAGUGCUAAGUGUUAGAGGGUUUCCGCCCUUUAGUGCUGCAGCAAACGCAUUAAGCACUCCGCCUGGGGAGUACGGUCGCAAGACUGAAACUCAAAGGAAUUGACGGGGGCCCGCACAAGCGGUGGAGCAUGUGGUUUAAUUCGAAGCAACGCGAAGAACCUUACCAGGUCUUGACAUCCUCUGACAACCCUAGAGAUAGGGCUUCCCCUUCGGGGGCAGAGUGACAGGUGGUGCAUGGUUGUCGUCAGCUCGUGUCGUGAGAUGUUGGGUUAAGUCCCGCAACGAGCGCAACCCUUGAUCUUAGUUGCCAGCAUUCAGUUGGGCACUCUAAGGUGACUGCCGGUGACAACCGGAGGAAGGKGGGGAUGACGUCAAAUCAUCAUGCCCCUUAUGACUGGGCU
rnacentral:rRNA from 1 species